AGUCUUGUCAAGGUCCCCUGGAGUUCUGUUGGGGGUUGUCUUAGACUGGGUGUUGUUGGGUUUUGUUUGUUUGUUUGUUUUUUUGGAGCUUGAAGCCUCAAGAAGCAGCAGGCUGAAGCUGAAGAAUGGAAGCUGCUUGAAAAGAAGACUGGAACAACCUAGAAAGCAGCUACCUGAAAAAGCAGCAGCAGUAGAAUUCCGAGGUUGCCUUGGCACCAAGGAGCUACCUUGCCAGCAGCAACAGGAGAGCAGUAACCGCCACUGCAUCCGCGGCAGAAGAGCAACAGCGCAACUGUGGCAGCCACUCUCUGGGAUCGGACAGUACAGAAGGACCAAUAGAGGAACUGGAGGAAAAUUUAAAUAAGGAGCGAAAAAUCCCAGUCUAUGUGGACCCGACCUGAACCAGACUGGCCAGCACCAUCUGUGAUUUGGGGGGCAUGUGAUAAAUGAAGGAUCAACCAUGCUAUCCCACUGAUGAUAAUAAUCCCUACGAUCAAUCCAGUGGUGGCAUACAAUGGCAUGGAAGCAGAGGCUAAAGAGAGGACCAGGAGCAUUUGUUUGGUCCGUUGAUUACUUUGGGCUGUUGAUUACUGCAGCUGAUUACUUGGAAUUGUUGCAGAGAUUCUUCAGUUUCAUACCAAACUGUUUCCUUCUUCCCAUCAGCCACUGUUCCAUUGCACCAGGUGGCCAACUGGGUGUUACAAAGUGGAAUAAAAGAGUCUUUUUUGCCAUUAGAGAGCAUUGGAAAUCAAAGCUGUAAAGAUUUAAGAAACCUACAGUGUUUUCCUUAAGAGCCAAGGAAAACUGAUCAAUUUUCUGUAAAAGCUCUUUUUUAAUCCAUUCAUGUUCCUGUUCCAACCAGCUGUGGGCAGACAAUAUCUGGCUGCUGAGUUCCUCUA